GCAGGAGGAAAAACAACUGCAGCAGAAAACUAAGGUAUUUUGAGUGUGAAACAGAAAAGACUAAAGAAGACAUGAAGAAAGGAAGCAGAGGGGCACCUGGGUGACUCAGUGGUUGAGUGUCUGCCUUCAGCUCAGGCCAUGAUCCCAGUCCAGGGAUUGAGUCCUACAUCGGGCUCCCUGCAGGGAGCCUGCUUCUCCCUCUGCCUGUGUCUCUGCCUCUCUCUCUCUGUCUUUCAUGAAUAAAUAAAUAAAAUCUUAAAAAGAAGAAGAAGAAAAAGAAAGAAAGAAAGAAAGAAAGAAAGAAAGAAAGAAAGAAAGAAAGAAGAGCAGAGGCAGUGUGGACCUGGGCAAGCGAGCCUGCCUUCCUCCAGAGAACCGGGCAGUGAUGUCUCAGGGCAUUAGUGUGUCCAAAAUCCUCUGACAAAGAUACUCCAUUAAUGUUGUUUUCUGUCUCCCUUUCUCUCCAAAUUCCAUUCCCUGACUUUCAGUUCAUAAAGAACGAUUCUGAACCUAGGCUAAAGCCACAGACCAGAGGGGAACUGGGCUAUAUCAGAUGGUGGUGACCUACAGGGCUGCCCUGAAUGUGACUUCAGAAAACCCUCCUUCUGGGGCUCGUCUCCCAAGUUGAGAAAGGUUCUGUAAGAUGAAGAUGUUCCAAGUGGGACAUCGCACGUGAGGAUCCAGCCCAGACGUGGUGGUACCUUGAUGGCCGUCUUCAGAAUUGUAGAGAUGGAAAGUUGCAAAUGGCCCGCAGGUACUCCUAAACACAACGGAGUCUCCCCAGUGACUGGUCCAUGUCUGACCUCACCGCAGCACCUCAUGGCGGGGAAGGUACGGGGUAGUGAGGCAGCGCUCUGGGUAAGUGUGGCACAAUCAGUCGGGUGAUGAGCUGGCUGGGGGACAGGGCAGCAAAUGAUCAAGGUGAAAAUCAUUUGCAGGAAAGCAGUUUGGUAGAAAGCACAUUGGUCCACACGGCCAUUUGGUCGAGACAGCAGUUCUGUUGCUAGCGGAAGCCCACGGUGUUUUGAGUGCUGGUGAUCUUGUACACCACAAAGAUGGUUUUGCAAUAGUGUUUUGGUUAAUUUUUUCC
rnacentral:lncRNA from 12 species